UACAGAGGUCUCAAGCGUUGUUCGGAUUCAUUGGGCGUAAAGGGUGCGUAGGUGGCGCGCUAAGUCAGGUGUGAAAUCUCGGGGCUUAACUCCGAAACUGCAUUUGAUACUGGCGUGCUUGAGGACUGGAGAGGAGACUGGAAUUCACGGUGUAGCAGUGAAAUGCGUAGAUAUCGUGAGGAAGACCAGUGGCGAAGGCGGGUCUCUGGACAGUUCCUGACACUGAGGCACGAAGGCCAGGGGAGCAAACGGG
rnacentral:rRNA from 1 species